rnacentral:rRNA from 1 species
UACGUAGGUCCCGAGCGUUAUCCGGAUUUAUUGGGUUUAAAGGGAGCGUAGGUGGAUUGUUAAGUCAGUUGUGAAAGUUUGCGGCUCAACCGUAGAAUUGCAGUUGAAACUGGCAGUCUUGAGUACAGUAGAGGUGGGCGGAAUUCGUGGUGUAGCGGUGAAAUGCUUAGAUAUCACGAAGAACUCCGAUUGCGAAGGCAGCUCACUGGACUGCAACUGACACUGAGGCUCGAAAGUGUGGGUAUCAAACAGG